rnacentral:rRNA from 1 species
ACGAACGCUGGCAGCGUGCCUAAUACAUGCAAGUAGAACGCUGAAGGAGGAGCUUGCUCUUCUGGAUGAGUUGCGAACGGGUGAGUAACGCGUAGGUAACCUGCCUGGUAGCGGGGGAUAACUAUUGGAAACGAUAGCUAAUACCGCAUAACAGUAGAUGUUGCAUGACAUUUGCUUAAAAGGUGCAAUUGCACCACUACCAGAUGGACCUGCGUUGUAUUAGCUAGUUGGUGGGGUAACGGCUCACCAAGGCGACGAUACAUAGCCGACCUGAGAGGGUGAUCGGCCGCACUGGGAGUGAGACAGGGCCCAGACGGCUACGGGAGGCAGCAGUAGGGAAUCUGGGGCAAGAGGCGGAAGUCUGAGCGAGCAACGCCGCGGGAGGGAAGAGGGGUUUCGGGUCGUAGAGCUCUGUUGUAGGGGAAGAACGAGUGUGAGAGUGGGAAGUUCACACUGUGGCGGUAGCUUAGCAGAGAGGGACGGGUAACUACGUG